rnacentral:rRNA from 1 species
GAGGUGGCUGCUAUAGGAGUUCGAAUUAGCCAUGCAAGUCAGGCCGCAAGGCACCGGCGAUAGGCUCAGUAACACGUCGAUAAUCUGCCCUAAGGUCGAUGAAAGCUACGCGAAAGUGUGGGUAAACAUCGAUAGGCAAUAGGCACUGUAAGGUCCUUUUGCUUAAACUCGUGCCUUAGGAUGAGUCGGCGGCUGAUUAGGUAGUUGGCGGGGUAAAGGCCCACCAAGCCUUGGAUCAGUACGGGCCAUGAAAGUGGUAGCCCGGAGAGGGACACUGAGAUACUGGUCCCAGCCCUACGGGGUGCAGCAGGCGCGUAAACUCUCCAAUGUGCGAAAGCGUGAGAGGGGAACUCCUAGUGCUUACGGUUCAUCCGUAGGCUUUUGCCAUGUGUAAAAAGCAUGGCGAAUAAGUGGUGGGUAAGACUGGUGCCAGCCGCCGCGGUAACACCAGCGCCACAAGUGGCCAUCGCGAUUAUUGGGCCUAAAGCGUCCGUAGUCGGCUAGAUACAUCUUCUGUGAAAUCGCAGCGCUUAACGUUGCGGCAUGCGGAAGACACGGUCUAGCUUGAGAGCGGGAGGCGUGAAGGGUACUCCGGGGGGACCGGUAAAAUGGUAUAAUCCCCGGAAGACCACCUGUGGCGAGG